rnacentral:rRNA from 1 species
UGGCGGCGUGCCUAACACAUGCAAAGUCGAACGAAGCAUACCUGAAUGAGAUUCGUCGAAGGAUGGAUGACUUAGUGGCGGACGGGUGAGUAAUGUAUGAGCAACCUGCCUUUCAGAGGGGGACAACAGUUGGAAACGACUGCUAAUACCGCAUAAUGUAUUGAGAGGGCAUCCUUUUGAUACCAAAGGAGCAAUCCGCUGAAAGAUGGGCUCAUAUCUGAUUAGUUAGUUGGCAGGGUAACGGCCUACCAAGACUGCGAUCAGUAGCCGGACUGAGAGGUUGAACGGCCACAUUGGGACUGAGAUACGGCCCAGACUCCUACGGGAGGCAGCAGUGGGGAAUAUUGGGCAAUGGGCGAAAGCCUCGACCCAGCAACGCCGCGUGAAGGAAGAAGGUCUUCGGAUUGUAAACUUCUUUUAUGAGGGACGAAGGACGUGACGGUACCUCAUGAAUAAGCCACGGCUAACUACGUGCCAGCAGCGGC